UGCAGUCGAGCGGACCGACGGGAGCUUGCUCCCUUAGGUCAGCGGCGGACGGGUGAGUAACACGUGGGUAACCUGCCUGUAAGACUGGGAUAACUCCGGGAAACCGGGGCUAAUACCGGAUGCUUGAUUGAACCGCAUGGUUCAAUCAUAAAAGGUGGCUUUUAGCUACCACUUACAGAUGGACCCGCGGCGCAUUAGCUAGUUGGUGAGGUAACGGCUCACCAAGGCGACGAUGCGUAGCCGACCUGAGAGGGUGAUCGGCCACACUGGGACUGAGACACGGCCCAGACUCCUACGGGAGGCAGCAGUAGGGAAUCUUCCGCAAUGGACGAAAGUCUGACGGAACAACGCCGCGUGAGUGAUGAAGGUUUUCGGAUCGUAAAACUCUGUUGUUAGGGAAGAACAAGUACCGUUCGAAUAGGGCGGUACCUUGACGGUACCUAACCAGAAAGCCACGGCUAACUACGUGCCAGCAGCCGCGGUAAUACGUAGGUGGCAAGCGUUGUCCGGAAUUAUUGGGCGUAAAGCGCGCGCAGGCGGUUUCUUAAGUCUGAUGUGAAAGCCCCCGGCUCAACCGGGGAGGGUCAUUGGAAACUGGGGAACUUGAGUGCAGAAGAAGAGAGUGGAAUUCCACGUGUAGCGGUGAAAUGCGUAGAGAUGUGGAGGAACACCAGUGGCGAAGGCGACUCUCUGGUCUGUAACUGACGCUGAAGCGCGAAAGCGUGGGGAGCGAACAGGAUUAGAUACCCUGGUAGUCCACGCCGUAAACGAUGAGUGCUAAGUGUUAGAGGGUUUCCGCCCUUUAGUGCUGCAAGCAACGCAUUAAGCACUCC
rnacentral:rRNA from 1 species